GCGUGCUGGGGUUUGCAGAUGGAGGCUGUGCCUGGCCGGUGGCACGGCUGACGCCCUUGUUGGAAGGUUUAUGAAAGUCUGGGGACAACUAAAGAGUCUUCUUGUUUGGAGUUUAAAGAGAACAGACAGGUGGAAAAAGAAAACCUCCAAAUUGAAGUUCGCUUCUAUGAAUAAAACCCAAAAAGGAGCCCAACAAUUAGUCUCUGAAGGCUAUCAAUUUCCAGACACAUUAGCUCUUUAGAUAUGUUAUUUUAAAAAGGGAAAAUGUGGAGUGACUAGGGACAGAUCCUGGGAAACGAUGAAGCCAGCUACGGCUACUGUCUGCCCAGCUGCCCUCCACGGGUCUGGGGCCCGCGGGUAUCAUAUGGCGCAUGGUGUUUGAUGCACACAGGUGGGCAGGGGGGAGCAGAGGAUCCAUAGUUUUUAUCAGAUGUUUAUGGUCUUGAAGAAAGUUAAGAUCCAUGGCUUCUUCCUUUUUCCUUUUGGAACUGGCUGAGAGGAAUAAGGGGGUGAGAGGGUGCAGGUUAUGCGAGGAAGGAAGAACGCCCGGCCAGCUCGUCCCGUGUCAAUUAACCUCUCAUCUCCAGGCAGCCUUUCCACCUCCAUAAACCGUGAUCAGCACUCAAAACUGGUUCAACAAGGCUAAACAAGACAGGAAUAAAGACACAGACCUACUAGAGAACGGACUUGAGGAUAUGGGGAGGGGGAAGGGUAAGC